UAAUCAAAAAACCACACAACAAAAUAUAUUUGUACCCCCGGGGAGAUUAAGCAUAUCAAUAAGCGGAGGAARAGAAACCAACAGGGAUUGCCCUAGUAACGGCGAGUGAAGCGGCAACAGCUCAAAUUUGAAAUCUGGCUCCUUCGGGGUCCGAGUUGUAAUUUGCAGAGGGUGCUUUGGCGUUGGCGGCGGUCUAAGUUCCUUGGAACAGGACAUCACAGAGGGUGAGAAUCCCGUACGUGGUCGCCUGCCUUCGCCGUGUAAAGCCCCUUCGACGAGUCGAGUUGUUUGGGAAUGCAGCUCUAAAUGGGAGGUAAAUUUCUUCUAAAGCUAAAUACCGGCCAGAGACCGAUAGCGCACAAGUAGAGUGAUCGAAAGAUGAAAAGCACUUUGGAAAGAGAGUCAAACAGCACGUGAAAUUGUUAUAAGGGAAGCGCUUGCAGCCAGACUUGCCUGUAGUUGCUCACCUGGGCUUUUGCCCGGGGCACUCUUCUGCAGGCAGGCCAGCAUCAGUUUGGGCGGUCGGAUAAAGGCCUCUGACACGUACUUCCUUUCGGGGUUGACAUAUAGGGGAGGCGCAAUGCGACCAGCCUGGACUGAGGUCCGCGCAUCUGCUAGGAUGCUGGCGUAAUGGCUGUAAGCGGCCCGUCUUGAAACACGGACCAAGGAGUCUAACAUCUAUGCGAGUGUUUGGGUGUCAAGCCCGAGCGCGUAAUGAAAGUGAACGGAGGUGGGAACCCCUCGGGGCGCACCAUCGACCGAUCCUGAUGUCUUCGGAUGGAUUUGAGUAAGAGCAUAGCUGUUGGGACCCGAAAGAUGGUGAACUAUGCUUGAAUAGGGUGAAGCCAGAGGAAACUCUGGUGGAGGCUCGCAGCGKUUCUGACGUGCAAAUCGAUCGUCAAAUUUGGKCAUAGGGGCGAARGACUAAUCCGAMCUAUSYAARURGCYGGUUUCCUGCCCAAAGAUUAACCUUCAGAGUUAAAAGGGAAGGGGAGU
rnacentral:rRNA from 1 species